UACCAGCACCCCGAGUGGUCGGGACGAUUAUUGGGCCUAAAGCAUCCGUAGCCGGUCAUGCAAGUCCUCCGUUAAAUCCACCUGCUUAACAGAUGGGCUGCGGAGGAUACUACAAGGCUAGGAGGCGGAAGAGGCAAGCGGUACUCAGUGGGUAGGGGUAAAAUCCUCUGAUCCAUUGAAGACCACCAGUGGCGAAGGCGGCUUGCCAAUACGCGCUCGACGGCGAGGGAUGAAAGCUGGGGGAGCAAACCGG
rnacentral:rRNA from 1 species